AUGGCUGUGCCCACGUAGAGCACGUGGCAGGGAAAGCCAUGUGGCUGGGCUGUCAAAAAGGCCAUGUGGUGGCCCACCCACACCACACCCCCUGGAGCCUCCAAGUGGCUGUGGCACCCCUCACUUUGACUAGAGGGACAGUGAGUGGCAGUGAACAAAAGGUCCCAAUCUAGGGGGACUGGCCAAAGUCUAUAAACAGGCACACACAUGGCCUCCAUCUUCCCUUGGCCUCUGCCUUCCUGACUUCUCAGCAUGUGACCUCCAGAGUGGCAACAAGGAAACAAGGAUGAGGAGAAGUAAGGGAGCUGCAUACCCCUCAGCAUAACUUUAAUACCCAGAAGAAUUCUGGAACAAAUAAUUCAGCAACACAUUCGAAAGAGUGGAAAUGUUUCAGAACAAGCUGGAAAAGCACGUCUCCAGAGUAACCGUGGGGCAGGCAAAUGUGCAUUUCAGAUCCUAUCCAGCAAUACUUCUCCAGGCUUUUCUGAACAAGACCA